rnacentral:rRNA from 1 species
CUGUCGUCAGCUCGUGUCGUGAGAUGUCGGGUUAAGUCCCUUAACGAGCGAAACCCUUAUCUUUAGUUGCCAGCGGGUAAUGCCGGGGACUCUAAAGAGACUGCCGGUGUCAAACCGGAGGAAGGUGGGGAUGACGUCAAGUCCUCAUGGCCUUUAUGUCUAGGGCUGCACACGUCCUACAAUGGUACGGACAAAUGGACGCAAUACCGCGAGGUGGAGCUAAUCCCAAAAACCGUGCCUCAGUUCGGAUUGCAGGCUGCAACUCGCCUGCAUGAA